ensembl:lncRNA
GUUACGUUACACAUUUUGAGUUUGUAUUAGGCACUUUAGAGCCCCCUGCAGGCCAUUACUUGUAUUCAGUUCUUUCGUAGAUUCUUAAUAUUGCGUUCAUUCUCAUUGGCUGAUAAGAGUCACGUUGUUAGUCACGUGAUUUCAGACGUGAUCUGUCAUUAUUUCGGCAGCCAUUUUGAUCUGUCAUUUGAGCCAGAGAUCCACACGGUGAAACAUCUUUUUUAUCUCACGUCAUUCAUCCGUGUAAGCCUUGGAGAAGCUUUGUUUUUUCACACUUCUAAACCUGCAACAACUUGUUCAACAACAAUCAAUAAAUGGACAUUCAAGUGGAUGUCGACAACAUCCUCUACGGACUUUCAUCAUUGAUCCUGUCUUCAAGUUUUGUUGGGGAAAAGUGUUCAGCUGUCUGGUGAUGUGUGCAUCGCUACGUGCUCAGGUGCCAGAACAAC